AAGACCCCUUAUCCUACACCUAAAACUCUGCUCUUGUAAUAACAAGGUGGAAAGGAACAGAAAAUGAGUUUGACAGCUAAGGAUAAAGCCUUGGUCAAGGCCUUCUGGUGUAAAGUCGCCAUAAGAAGUCUGAUGCCAAAGGCCAAGAAGCUCUGGGAAGAACACUUGCUGUCUACUCUCAGACUAAUAUAUUCUUCAGUGGUCUGACUCUCUAAGCUCACCCCAGGUGAAGAAACAAAUGUGAUGAGAGCCAUCCCUGAUGCUGUGGGCAAAAUGGAUGAUCUUAUUGGUGGACUGAGCUCCUUGAGUCAUCUCCAUGACACCGGUUCGCCUAGAUCCUGAAAACUUUAAGUUAAAUGACUUCACCGCAGAAGUGCACGUGGCCGUGGACAAGUUCCUUGUGGCUCUGUCUGCAGCCCUCGCUGAUAAAUACAGACAAGCUCACCAUUCCGAGGAUUCUCGUUUAUCUGCAAACAGAGGCACUUCAAGUAAUAAAGCUAAAAUAUCAGAUGCAAUUAAUAAAAUCUAUAACAAUCAAAAAGUCUGUUCCUCAUGUUUUCUGGUCGAUAUGAACCAAAUCAGUUGCAGGGACAAACCUUUUAACCAAAUCUUUUACAUUCUAUUAAUUUUGUUUUUAUUAUGGCUUCUCGGAGGUAAUCUGCCUAUUCUCUUAUUUAAUCUUAAAGCACCUUGAAAACAGUAUCCAUGGGUUUUACUGGAGACAAAAAUAAUGUGAUCAACGAUCAACAGAAAUAACCAUUCUUGAGUUUAGCAAGUGGUUAAAUCGAUGU